ACUUCAAAAAUUACUUCUGGUUCAGUAGGUCGUCACACAAGAAUACAAAAAAGAACAUGCCUGCCCCCUGUGAACCAUGCAAAGACACGUGCAAGGAAGGUGCUGAAUGCAAGGACGACUGCUCUUGCGAGGACAACUGCUCUGACUGCCCCACCAAACCAGGUGGAUGCUGCUAAACAUGGAACUGAUAAUUGUAUCUUCUGCUUCUCCGAAUUCAGCUAUUGACAGAAACAUAAUUUAAAUGUAAUAUUUAUUUCUGAAAUAAAGUUAGUGGUGCCCAUUUAA